rnacentral:rRNA from 1 species
AACGAACGCUGGCGGCAUGCCUAACACAUGCAAGUCGAACGAGACCUUCGGGUCUAGUGGCGCACGGGUGCGUAACGCGUGGGAACCUGCCCUUAGGUUCGGAAUAACUCCCCGAAAGGGGUGCUAAUACCGGAUAAUGUCUUCGGACCAAAGAUUUAUCGCCUUUGGAUGGGCCCGCGUUGGAUUAGCUAGUUGGUAGGGUAAAAGCCUACCAAGGCGACGAUCCAUAGCUGGUCUGAGAGGAUGAUCAGCCACACUGGGACUGAGACACGGCCCAGACUCCUACGGGAGGCAGCAGUGGGGAAUAUUGGACAAUGGGCGAAGGCCUGAUCCAGCAAUGCCGCGUGAGUGAUGAAGGCCUUAGGGUUGUAGAGCUCUUUUACCCGGGAUGAUAAUGACAGUACCGGGAGAAUAAGCUCCGGCUAACUCCGUG